AUGGGGGAUAAAGAAAAGGAUCGUUUAAGGCUGAGAACUACGAUUGCGGUUGUAAAGUGGCUCACAUUUCAGUCUUGUGCUUUAAGAGGCCAUGAUGAGAGGCCGGAAUCAAGAAACAGAGGUAACUUUCUUGAGAUGUUGAAGCUUCUUGCAGACUUCUGCCCUGAUGUUCAAGCUGUAGUUCUUGAGAAUGCUCCACAAGUUUGCAAAUACACAUCACACGAAAUUCAAAAUGAGAUCUUGAGCAUUUAUGCUAUGAAAGUCAGGGAGCAUAUUCGAGCAGAAAUUGGGGACUCAAAGUACUCUGUUCUUGUGGAUGAGACAUGUGAUGUGUCCAAAAGAGAGCAAAUGGCACUAGUUUUCAGAUUUGUUGAUAAAGAUGGUUAUUCACAAGAAAGAUUCUUUCAUCUCAUACAUGUAGCCAACACAAAAGCAUUGACACUAAAGAUGGAGUUGUGUAAAGUAUUAUCCAAGCAUGGAUUUGAUGUACAAAAUCUUCGAGGCCAGGGGUAUGAUGGGGCAAGCAACAUGAGGGGAGAGUUGAAUGGAUUGCAAGCUCUAUUCAUUAAAGAUUGCCCCUGA
rnacentral:rRNA from 1 species